rnacentral:rRNA from 1 species
CGGAGCGUGUGGUUUAAUUCGAUGCUACACGAAGAACCUUACCAGGGUUUGACAUACAAGUAGUAGGGAAAGGAAACUGGACCGACCUUCGGGGAGCUUGUACAGGUGUUGCAUGGCUGUCGUCAGCUCGUGUCGUGAGAUGUUCGGUUAAGUCCGCUAACGAGCGCAACCCUCGUCGUAUGUUAUAUGUGUCAUACGAGACUGCCGGUAAAAAGCCGGAGGAAGGUGAGGAUGAUGUCAAGUCAGCAUGACCUUUAUAUCCAGGGCUACACACACGCUACAAUGGUCUGUACAAUGGGUAGCCAAGCCGCGAGGCGGAGCCAAUCCUGAAAAGCUGGUCGUAGUCCGGAUCGCAGUCUGCAACUCGACUGCGUGAAGUCGGAAUCGCUAGUAAUCGCGAAUCAGCAUGUCGCGGUGAAUACGUUCCCGGGCCUU